AGGCACUUAGUUUAAGAAAAAUAUUUGAUUUCGGCUCAAAAACUUGUGGUUUGAGUCCACAAUUGCCUA
rnacentral:tRNA from 1 species